CCUACGGGAGGCAGCAGUGGGGAAUUUUGGACAAUGGGCGCAAGCCUGAUCCAGCAAUGCCGCGUGAGUGAAGAAGGCCUUCGGGUUGUAAAGCUCUUUUGUCAGGGGAGAAACGGCUCCAGCUAAUAUCUGGGGCUAAUGACGGUACCUGAAGAAUAAGCACCGGCUAACUACGUGCCAGCAGCCGCGGUAAUACGUAGGGUGCAAGCGUUAAUCGGAAUUACUGGGCGUAAAGCGUGCGCAGGCGGUUUUGUAAGUCUGUCGUGAAAGCCCCGGGCUCAACCUGGGAAUUGCGAUGGAGACUGCAAGGCUUGAAUCUGGCAGAGGGGGGUAGAAUUCCACGUGUAGCAGUGAAAUGCGUAGAGAUGUGGAGGAACACCGAUGGCGAAGGCAGCCCCCUGGGUCAAGAUUGACGCUCAUGCACGAAAGCGUGGGGAGCAAACAGGAUUAGAUACCCUGGUAGUCCACGCCCUAAACGAUGUCUACUAGUUGUCGGGUUUUAAUUAACUUGGUAACGCAGCUAACGCGUGAAGUAGACCGCCUGGGGAUACGGUCGCAAGAUUAAAACUUAAUGAAUUGACGG
rnacentral:rRNA from 1 species